CCUCCAGCCAUCAUCUCCUCUCUGCUUGUUCCUCAUGUGUAAUUCAGAAGAAGGAGCCCGUCUCACAUCAAACGUGCCGGUAAAGGCCUCGUCUGUUCAUCGUAAUCACCACAGAAAACACCAAACAACAUCUUAUAGGAUGGGAACUUUCUGGAUCCUUCACUUCUGACACGAGGAUGACGCCACUCGGAUCGGACGGUGUUUUACGACAUAAAGCCUCAGCUGCAAUCUCCAAACGUCUUCCGUAAGAAACGAGCCAUCCGGUUCCCGCAUCCCCACCAUCCGUUCUUCCUGUGACAGAAGGAACAGAUUGAAGAGGAGCGACAGAUCUGACAGGACAGAUGAG